rnacentral:rRNA from 1 species
CCUACGGGUGGCAGCAGUGGGGAAUAUUGGGCAAUGGGCGCAAGCCUGACCCAGCAACGCCGCGUGAAGGAAGAAGGCUUUCGGGUUGUAAACUUCUUUUAAGAGGGAAGAGCAGAAGACGGUACCUCUUGAAUAAGCCACGGCUAACUACGUGCCAGCAGCCGCGGUAAUACGUGGGUGGCAAGCGUUGUCCGGAUUUACUGGGUGUAAAGGGCGUGUAGCCGGGCUGACAAGUCAGAUGUGAAAUCCGGGGGCUCAACCGCCGAACUGCAUUUGAAACUGUUGGUCUUGAGUGUCGGAGAGGCAGGCGGAAUGCCUGGUGUAGCGGUGAAAUGCGUAGAGAUUAGGAGGAACACCAGUGGCGAAGGCGGCCUGCUGGGCGACAACUGACGGUGAGGCGCGAAAGCGUGGGGAGCAAACAGGAGUAGAUACCCCGGUAGUC